AUAGGUUGGAGAUAUCUAAGAGGUGAAAGGGUUCGUAUUUUCAAUAGGAUACAUUGAUUUUGCCAAGUCUCCAAACAUGAACAACUCUGUAAUGCUUUUCGUGAUCGUCGGCUUGCUUGUUAAAUGGACAGAAGGCAACUAACGGAUCUUAACGUCUUCAUGCAACAUCACGAUGAGCAGCGCAAUUGUUGUAUUCGAUUCUCGACCGAGCACAAUACAUGUUACGUAUAGCGGACAGUCUAUAGUGUGCGAGCCUAUUUGAUCCUAAAUCGGACUUAACGAAGGCAAUAAAAUGAGGAAAACGAAAUUAUUACUUUUAUCGUUACUGUGUGUCUGUUUCUUGUGUUUGUUCGGACUUUGGUUUCUGGGAUUGUUUGGACCCGCCCAUAAUAGGGCGCUUAACGAGAUGCUAAGUCCGCCGAUUGACGUAAACCAAGAUUGCAAGUUUGUGUACGUUGAUUUAGGUAGCAACAAGGGCGUGCAGGUACGGAAGUUGUACGAGCCAUUGCUGUAUCCGGGUGCGGCUAUCAUACCGUUCUUCGACACGUUAUUUGGAAAAAUAGCCCAGUCUAGCCGUCGUGGGAUGUGUGUUCGUUUGGAUUUGAGGCUAAUCCACGUCAUAUGGGUCGCCUGAAGCACAUUGAACGUUCAUAUCGACGUAAAGGACUCAAUGUCACGUUUUACAAUAACGCCGUUUCAAACAGAACUGGAGAUAUUGUGACCAUAUAUUCGGACACAAAUUUUGACAUCGACUGGGGCGCUGGCAUUCUGGAUACGGCCAUUGAUAACAAAAAUAAUAUGACAGAAUAUAAAGUCCGUACCAUCGAUAUUGUUCACUUCAUUCGAAAUCAGAUUGUCCCCCUCAAACCAAAGGAAGUUUUCAUGAAAAUGGACAUCGAGGGAUCGGAAUACAUCGUCCUGCCACAGAUGAUUCAGACAUCAACCCUUUGCAAAGAUGUCAUAACAUCAUUUGUGAUCGAAAUGCACGAGUGGGCUAAGAAACCUAUGGGGUCGACUCUAACAUUUGACGAUGUAAGAAAUAUGCUAGGGAAGCAAGGUUGCGUCCCUUCUGAAAUGGUAUCUGUCGACGACGAAAGUUAUUUACAUGACAUCCCCAGAGACCCUAGUUGGUAACAAUAAAAAAAGAUUGUGCAUAUAGAUGUGUUACAUAAUAAGUUGACUACCGUUUCA